UUCAAAGCUUUUUGACAUUUAACCUCUGAUCUUAUGUUGGAAAGAUCCAUUGUUUACCAGCAAAACAAUAUUGAAGACAACAUUGAUAAAUACGCCACAGAGAAAUAUCAUGGGAAAGUUUUAAAACACAUUCAUAUAUCUGUACUCUCAAUCUCUCUGUUUUUCCUCAUCUUUUCAUAGAAAACAUGGCUCUACACACCUAAAUAAUCACACCUUUCAUCCGUGAUUAUUUUUUUCUAAAGCUUUUAUAAUAAUACUAAAUGCUGUAUGAUGUGGGCUUGUAAUCAAAGUGAAUUGUGCAGAGAAUCUAGGCCAAAUGAGGCAGAUUUUGUUUAUAUUAGGAAGUGAGUAAUGUGUAAGGAACAAAAUGAUGCCACAUCAUUGAUGAAAAUGAAAGCAAGACUUAAAAGACGAACAUCAAGAAAACAACAGAAAUCAUUAUGAAAAAAAAAUCAUAGAAAAUGAAAAUGACUUUUUAUGGCCUCCAAAUGUUUGAGUGUUUACUUGACAAAUCUUACAUCCUGGGUAAUCUCCUCCCGAUUCUGGAGCAGGGUGUCACUGAGUUCAUGGACAGUCUGAGAUGCAACCUGAGCUAACCUCAACAUUUUGGAUUCUAUAUUCUCCAAGAAUCACCUUUCACUCCAUGAAACCAUGCAGCGCUGUUCUGCAGGAGGAACCUUGGUCCGUCAGCAACAGUGUAGUCUGACAAUAGGUACAAAUGGUUCAUCAUAAAAGUUAGUAUAUCAUUACCUGACCUGUAGAGAUCUCCUUGCAAUACCCUCUCCAAAUACUCCCAGCUGCUGAGAGUCUAAAAAAAAACAAGAAAAUGUGACUUAAAAAUUCAGCAGCUGGCAGGUGACCAUGGAUGGAGUUACUCCAGCAGCCUACCCUAAGCAUCUCUCCAAAAUGUGCUGUGGCUAAUGGAUUGAGGAUUUUAAGUCCCCUCUGGAGCUUCUUCACAUCAUCCAUAUGUUCUGUAUGUGGAUCCCCUUUAUACUAACCUCCACAAUCAACGCAGAGACUCUUUCUACAUCAAAGGAAGCUUCCAGCGAGGCAAACAGGAAAGACUGAACAUCAGAUACCCACAGUCAAGGGAUCAGAGAGCCUUUUCCAGCAGAGAGAUUUCAUGAACUCAGUUAAGAGUUUUAUCAGAGUGUUGCUCUGUCGGUCUGGAACAACAUUAUGGGAUACCUCUUCUCCUCCUCUGUGCAACCUUAAUGCAGGUGGAUAGAAAGCUGUUGGUGCUCUUCACACCUGAUUGCACCUUGAAGGCCUACCUAGAGCUAGAUGGAAGCAAGCUGAAGACAAAAUUCGAUCUCAUUACAGCAAAGAAGAGCUCCUUUGUGAAGUUGUGGAACCAUUCCAGUUGCUAAUGGAGAACAAACUGGAAGAGCUCCUUUCAGAAUCACAUGUUAUUUUAAAAAAGCAUCCUCACCACCUCCAUGGCCACACCAGAAGGAGAGAGGAGCUUCUCAACCUGGAAUAGAGCGAAUGCCUUUGUUAGAAGCACCAAGGCAGAGGGCAGGCUGAAUGCAAGGCCAUGCUAAAAAAUAAAAGAAAUGAGAGCAAAAGUUUUGUUGACAAAGUUUGUUCUAGUAUUAGAAUUUCUGACCUUUCCUGUCCCCAUCAACAAAAUUUUACAAAUAUCACCAGCAACUAUUUGGUCAAACACACAGGUGCC